ACGAACGCUGGCGGCAUGCCUAACACAUGCAAGUCGAACGAGACCUUCGGGUCUAGUGGCGCACGGGUGCGUAACGCGUGGGAACCUGCCCUUAGGUGCGGAAUAACUCCCCGAAAGGGGUGCUAAUACCGGAUAAUGUCUUCGGACCAAAGAUUUAUCGCCUUUGGAUGGGCCCGCGUUGGAUUAGCUAGUUGGUAGGGUAAAAGCCUACCAAGGCGACGAUCCAUAGCUGGUCUGAGAGGAUGAUCAGCCACACUGGGACUGAGACACGGCCCAGACUCCUACGGGAGGCAGCAGUGGGGAAUAUUGGACAAUGGGCGAAAGCCUGAUCCAGCAAUGCCGCGUGAGUGAUGAAGGCCUUAGGGUUGUAAAGCUCUUUUACCCGGGAUGAUAAUGACAGUACCGGGAGAAUAAGCUCCGGCUAACUCCGUG
rnacentral:rRNA from 1 species